GAUGAACGCUGGCGGCGUGCCUAAUACAUGCAAGUCGAACGAAACUUCUUUAUCACCGAGUGCUUGCACUCACCGAUAAAGAGUUGAGUGGCGAACGGGUGAGUAACACGUGGGCAACCUGCCCAAAAGAGGGGGAUAACACUUGGAAACAGGUGCUAAUACCGCAUAACCAUAGUUACCGCAUGGUAACUAUGUAAAAGGUGGCUAUGCUACCGCUUUUGGAUGGGCCCGCGGCGCAUUAGCUAGUUGGUGAGGUAAAGGCUUACCAAGGCAAUGAUGCGUAGCCGAACUGAGAGGUUGAUCGGCCACAUUGGGACUGAGACACGGCCCAAACUCCUACGGGAGGCAGCAGUAGGGAAUCUUCCACAAUGGGCGAAAGCCUGAUGGAGCAACGCCGCGUGGGUGAAGAAGGUCUUCGGAUCGUAAAACCCUGUUGUUAGAGAAGAAAGUGCGUGAGAGUAACUGUUCACGUUUCGACGGUAUCUAACCAGAAAGCCACGGCUAACUACGUGCCAGCCGCCGCCGUAACAC
rnacentral:rRNA from 1 species